AAGUCGUAACAAGGUCUCCGUUGGUGAACCAGCGGAGGGAUCAUUGCUGGAACGCGCCCCAGGCGCACCCAAGAAACCCCUUUGUGAACUUAUUACCUUAACUGUUGCCUCGGCGCUAGCUGGUCCUUCGGGGCCCUCACCCUCGGGUGUUGAGACAGCCCGCCGGCGGCCAACCUAACUCUUAGUUUUACACUGAAACUCUGAGAAUAAAACAUAAAAUGAAUCAAAA
rnacentral:misc_RNA from 1 species